rnacentral:rRNA from 2 species
GACGAACCGAGCAAACGUUAUUCGGAAUCACUGGGCUUAAAGGGCGCGUAGGCGGGCAUCCAAGUCUGUGGUGAAAUCCGGCAGCUUAACUGUCGAACUGCCGUGGAUACUGGGUGUCUCGAGGGAGGUAGGGGCGUGCGGAACUAUUGGUGGAGCGGUGAAAUGCGUUGAUAUCAAUAGGAACUCCGGUGGCGAAGGCGGCACGCUGGACCUCUUCUGACGCUGAGGCGCGAAAGCCAGGGGAGCAAACGGG